rnacentral:rRNA from 1 species
UACGGGAGGCAGCAGUAGGGAAUCUUCGGCAAUGGGGGCAACCCUGACCGAGCAACGCCGCGUGAGUGAAGAAGGUUUUCGGAUCGUAAAGCUCUGUUGUAAGUCAAGAACGAGUGUGAGAGUGGAAAGUUCACACUGUGACGGUAGCUUACCAGAAAGGGACGGCUAACUACGUGCCAGCAGCCGCGGUAAUACGUAGGUCCCGAGCGUUGUCCGGAUUUAUUGGGCGUAAAGCGAGCGCAGGCGGUUUGAUAAGUCUGAAGUUAAAGGCUGUGGCUCAACCAUAGUUCGCUUUGGAAACUGUCAAACUUGAGUGCAGAAGGGGAGAGUGGAAUUCCAUGUGUAGCGGUGAAAUGCGUAGAUAUAUGGAGGAACACC